CCUCUUUCGGUAUUUAUAGGCAUAUCUCAACAUUCUUGUUCUAUCUCAGAAUUCACAUUCUUAUUCAAUCGUUCUGUGAUUCAUGACAGUGACUUCGCACUGUCGUUUCUCGUUUCAAAUUUUAAGCCCCCACUCACCAACUCUGUCAAUGUCAAGUGAACCCUUUCUCUUUGUCAAAAUGAAGAAUAUUUUUUCAUUAAAUUCUAAAAUCUACUUAAGGCAAUGUCUGGCCUCAUAGCCACAUUUUCAAACAGACGUUCUUAAUUGGGUUUUCUGGACAAAUAAUAGAAACCUGAACAACCCUUUACUCCGUGGGAGGACUUCUUCAAGCUGGAGCCCCCAAUGUCGCCGGCGAUGCAGCGAUAGUACAUGGUAUAGACUCCUAACAACCAUCCAACACCUGUGGGCCUGGUGGCCAGAACAUCCACGUCGCCAGAGCCCGUUGCAGAACAACAGCAAGACACCAAGAACCCGCAGACAGAUACCAAGUGCCAUCGAUAA
rnacentral:lncRNA from 1 species